AGAAUUUCUGUAAAAUUUUACCCAUAUACAAUAUCAAUGCUACUGUAAAAGAAGCCAUAUAUAAUUGAGGUAUAUAAUUGAAUACUGAAAGCAAAUAUGAACUUGUUCUUCUGCAUCAUUCAAUAAAGUACUGCUCAAGAUUUCUCCAUUUUGGAGGUUGACUUGAAUGAAGAAAACAAAAACCAACAAAGCAAAGAAAGAAAUAUUACAUCAUCAAGAAACAUACAUAAUGUAAUUUCAUUUUUUCCAAAUCAAGGAAUUGAAGCAAACGGAGUUAUAUCUAGGAGGUAUAAAGGUACUGCUAUCAAUCCAGGUUUGCUAGUUUGCGCGCUUAUAUGCUACUGAAAUUCCUUUUCUCUCAUAGAUGUUCAACCAAGUUGCUCUUACUGUCAUGGUUGCUAAUAGACAGCACUAGUUAUGACUCGAAGGCCAGAACACAACACAACUUUAUAAUCAUGUUCAUGUGUAGCUUUAUGGAGUGCAGAUCAAAUCAACACAACUUCAUUUGCUAAAAUAAAAUCUUAUUUUCUACCUGCAGACAAGUUCAAUAGAUAUUGAGCGUGUUUGUGAUCGUGCUGAUGAGUGUGUCGUGGAAACUACUGCAGUCAGUGUUGCACCACCAAAUGGUGGUCCAGAACAGUUAGCUAUAUUUGUGGUUCUCAAAGAGGAGGGGAUGAAUAUUUCACCACACACUGAAGAAAAGAUUCUAAAAAGUCAUUCAAAGCAAUCUUAAUCCUUUAUUCAAGGUAAGCGCGGUAAAGAUAGUUCCCACGUUCCCUCAAACAGCUUCAAAUAAGUUGUUGAGGAGAGUUCUAAGAGAGCAGUGGAAGCAACAUCUUCAGAUACAGAGUAAACUCUAGCUAACAUCUCAACUAAUCUUUGGUGAAUAUGACUAAUUAAAUGAAUGAUCACAGCAAGUUUUCGUAUCUACUAGUUCAAAGUAAUAGUCUAAAUGCAGCCUUCUGUGAAAAUCGAGCCGGGUGAUUGUUAAAAUUGAAUCUACGGGCAUUCUGACCUGAGUCAUGCUAUCACUAUUAUUUUUAGUUUUCU